rnacentral:rRNA from 1 species
AAUCCCACAGGCCGUAAACCCAAGGUUUCCAGGGGAAGGUUCGUCCGCCCUGGGUUAGUCGGGACCUAAGCUGAGGCCGAAAGGCGUAGGUGAUGGACAACAGGUUGAUAUUCCUGUACUACCGAUAACCGUUUGAGAGAAGGGAUGACACAGUAGGAUAAGCUAAGCACACUGUUGGUUAUGUGUGCCCAAGCAUUGAGGCAGUCAAAGUAGGCAAAUCCGCUUUGAUAAUGCUGGGAUGUGAUGGGGAGCGAAAUUUAGUAGCGAAGUAGCUGAUUUCACACUGUCAAGAAAAGUCUCUAUCGAGGUUAAAGGUACCCGUACCGCAAACCGACACAGGUGGGUGAGGAGAGUAUCCUAAGGCCAGCGAGAGAACUGUUGUUAAGGAACUCGGCAAAAUGACCCCGUAACUUAGGGAUAAGGGGUGCCACCAUCAGGUGGCCGCAGAGAAUAGGCCCAAGCGACUGUUUACCAAAAACAUAGGUUUCUGCUAAGUCGCAAGACGAUGUAUAGGAGCUGACGCCUGCCCGGUGCUGGAAGGUUAAGGGGAUCUGUUAGAGCAAUCGAAGCAGUGAACUUAAGCCCCAGUAAACGGCGGCCGUAACUAUAACGGUCCUAAGGUAGCGAAAUUCCUUGUCGGGUAAGUUCCGACCCGCACGAAAGGCGUAACGAUUUGGGCACUGUCUCAACAACAGACUCGGUGAAAUUGUAAUUCCGGUGAAGAUGCCGGAUACCUGCGACAGGACGGAAAGACCCCAUGGAGCUUUACUGUAGCUUGACAUUGGGUCUUGGUACUACAUGUACAGGAUAGGUGGGAGGCUUUGAAACCAGGACGCCAGUUUUGGCGGAGCCAUCCUUGGGAUACCACCCUUGUAGUACUGGGACUCUAACCAUAGGCCAUGAAUCUGGUCUUGGGACACUGUCAGGUGGGCAGUUUGACUGGGGCGGUCGCCUCCCAAAAGGUAACGGAGGCGCUCAAAGGUUCUCUCAGUACGGUCGGAAAUCGUACGUAGAGUGUAAAGGCAAAAGAGAGCUUGAUUGCAAGACAUACAGGUCGAGCAAGGAUGAAAAUCGGACUUAGUGAUCCGGUGGUUCUGCGUGGAAGGGCCAUCGCUCAACGGAUAAAAGCUACCCUGGGGAUAACAGGCUUAUCUCCCCCAAGAGUCCACAUCGACGGGGAGGUUUGGCACCUCGAUGUCGGCUCAUCACAUCCUGGGGCUGUAGUAGGUCCCAAGGGUUGGGCUGUUCGCCCAUUAAAGUGGUACGCGAGCUGGGUUCAGAACGUCGUGAGACAGUUCGGUCCCUAUCCGUCGCAGGCGUAGGAAAUUUGAGAAGACCUGUCCUUAGUACGAGAGGACCGGGAUGGACGUACCUCUGGUGUACCAGUUGUCCUGCCAAGGGCAUGGCUGGGUAGCUAUGUACGGAAUGGAUAAGCGCUGAAAGCAUCUAAGCGCGAAGCCAACUUCAAGAUAAGAUUUCCCACCGCAAGGGUAAGACCCCAGAAAGACUAUCUGGUUGA